UGAGCGGCGGACGGGUGAGUAACGCGUGGGUAACCUGCCUCAUACAGGGGGAUAACAGUUGGAAACGGCUGCUAAUACCGCAUAAGCGCACAGUACCGCAUGGUACGGUGUGAAAAACUCCGGUGGUAUGAGAUGGACCCGCGUCUGAUUAGGUAGUUGGUGGGGUAACGGCCUACCAAGCCGACGAUCAGUAGCCGACCUGAGAGGGUGACCGGCCACAUUGGGACUGAGACACGGUCCAA
rnacentral:rRNA from 1 species